rnacentral:rRNA from 1 species
UAUGUAGGCGGUUUGUUAAGUUAGUUGUUAAAUACCAUGGCUCAACUGUGGAAAGGCAGCUGAUACUGACGAGCUAGAGCGCAGAAGAGAGGAGUGGAAUUCCCGGAGUAGCGGUAAAAUGCGUAGAUCUCGGGAGGAACACCGGUUGCGAAGGCGGCUCCUUGGUCUGUGGCUGACGCUAAAGUACGAAAGCGUGGGGAGCAAACAGGAUUAGAUACCCUGGUAGUCCACGCUGUAAACGAUGAUCACUGGAUGUAGGUCGGGCAUAGCCUGAUCUGUGUCGAAGCUAACGCGUUAAGUGAUCCGCCUGGGAAGUACGGUCGCAAGAUUAAA